rnacentral:misc_RNA from 1 species
UCGCGCCAUGCCUUCAGAUGCGGCGCGCGGCUGUGAGCGGUGAGAUCGUCGCGCGUCUCCCAGCGUUCGACGAACACCAGGGUAUUCGGAUCGUUUACGCUGGAAUGAAGUUCAUAGGAGAUGCAGCCCUUCUCCUUGUGAGUCUCGGCGAUGCAGGCUUUCGCGCCGGCGAUGAAGGCCUCGCGGCCUUCCGGCUUCACCU